rnacentral:rRNA from 1 species
AUACGGAGGGGACAAGCGUUGUUCGGAAUUACUGGGCGUAAAGCGCGUGCAGGCGGUUUGGUAAGUCAGAUGUGAAAGCCCUGGGCUCAACCCGGGAAGUGCAUUUGAAACUGCCUUUCUUGAGUAUGGGAGAGGAGAGUGGAAUUCCCAGUGUAGAGGUGAAAUUCGUAGAUAUUGGGAGGAACACCCGUGGCGAAGGCGACUCUCUGGACCAAUACUGACGCUGAGACGCGAAAGCGUGGGGAGCAAACAGGAUUAGAAACCCCAGUAGUCC